AAUUUUUAUGUUUUAUAAAAUUUAUUAUAAGUUUAUUUUACAUAUAAAUUUUAGUAUAUAAUUUUAAUUAUUUAAAAAAUAAUUAUUUAAAAUAAUAGUAAUUAAAAUUAAAAAUUUAAGAAAUUAAGAUUUAGUAAUACAAAAAUUAGUAACUAAUUUUGUGCCAGCAGUUGCGGUUACACAAAAAUUAAAUUAAAUUAUUUCAGUAUUUAAUAAAUAGAGUAUAAUUAAAAUAAAUAUAAAAUUAUUAGGUGAAAUUUUAAUUUAAUUUAAUUUUAAAAUUAAUUUUAUGAUUUAGGAAAUUUAAUAAUAAACUAGGAUUAGAUACCCUAUUAUUAAAAAUUUAAUUAAUAAUACUAAAAUAGUAGAUAAUAAAUAUUGAAACUUAAAUAAUAUGGCGGUAUUUUAGUUCAUUUAGAGGAACCUGUUUAAUAAUUGAUAAUCCACGAAUAAAUUUACUUAAUUUAUUAUUUUAUAUAUCGUUGUUAAAAAAAUAUUUUAAUAUAAAAAUAAUAUUUUAGAUUUUUUAAAUUAAAUUAAUUCAGAUCAAGAUGUAGAUUAUAAUUAAGAAUAUAAUGGGUUACAAUAAAAUAAUUUAAAAUGGAUAAUUAAUUUUAAAAUUAAUUUUAAGGUGGAUUUAAAUGUAAUUUUAAUUAAUUUAUUAAAAUGAUUAAAAAUUGAAAUAUGUACAUAUUGCCCGUCACUUUCAUUUUAAAAUUGAAAUAAGUCGUAACAAAGUAGAAGUACUGGAAAGUGUUUCUAGAAAGAA
rnacentral:ncRNA from 1 species